rnacentral:rRNA from 1 species
CCAGACUCCUACGGGAGGCAGCAGUGGGGAAUAUUGGGCAAUGGGCGCAAGCCUGACCCAGCGACGCCGCGUGAGGGAAGACGGUCUUCGGAUUGUAAACCUCUUUCAGCAGGGAAGACAAAAGGACGGUACCUGCAGAAGAAGCCACGGCUAACUACGUGCCAGCAGCCGCGGUAAUACGUAGGUGGCAAGCGUUAUCCGGAAUUACUGGGCGUAAAGGGAGCGUAGGCGGGAAGCCAAGUCAGCUGUGAAAACUACGGGCUUAACCUGUAGACUGCAGUUGAAACUGGCUUUCUUGAGUGAAGUAGAGGUUGGCGGAAUUCCGAGUGUAGCGGUGAAAUGCGUAGAUAUUCGGAGGAACACCGGUGGCGAAGGCGGCCAACUGGGCUUUAACUGACGCUGAGGCUCGAAGGUGUGGGGAGCAAACAGGAUUAGAUACCCGAGUA